CCCUUAGAUGUCCGGGGCCGCACGCGCGCUACACUGAAGGAAUCAGCGUGGCUUUCUCCCUGACCCGAAAGGGUUGGGAAACCCGUUGAAUCUCCUUCGUGAUAGGGAUUGGGGCUUGAAAUUGUUCCCCAGGAACGAGGAAUUCCCAGUAAGCGCGAGUCAUAAGCUCGCGUUGAUUACGUCCCUGCCCUUUGUACACACCGCCCGUCGCUACUACCGAUUGAACGGUUUAGUGAGGGCCUCGGAUUGGUCUCGGCCCGCUCUUUACCGGGCGGCGCCGUUGGUCGAGAAGACGCUCGAACUUGAUCGUUUAGAGGAAGUAAAAGUCGUAACA
rnacentral:rRNA from 1 species